rnacentral:rRNA from 1 species
CCGGCGCACGGUGAGUAACGCGUAUGCAACUUGCCUAUCAGGAGGGGAUAACCCGGCGAAAGUCGGACUAAUACCGCAUGAAGCAGGGGCCCCGCAUGGGGAUAUUUGCUAAAGAUUCAUCGCUGAUAGAUAGGCAUGCGUUCCAUUAGGCAGUUGGCGGGGUAACGGCCCACCAAACCGACGAUGGAUAGGGGUUCUGAGAGGAAGGUCCCCCACAUUGGUACUGAGACACGGUCCAA